CUCUAUCAAGAUGGAUAAUGGAUCAUGACCUUUUCUUUUAAUAUUUUUAAAUUAGAUUCAAAAGUAAUUAUGUAAUUAAAAAAUUUGCUUUAUGAGUUUUUAGUUUGUUUUUUUUUCCUUUCGGCAUUUUAUUUAAAUUAGAUGGAUGGAGCUUCGGAUUAAAUAAUAAUAAUCAAAUCAAGCAUCUCUGGCUUUCUAUUUGAUCGUAUCACGCCC
rnacentral:lncRNA from 1 species